rnacentral:rRNA from 1 species
AUGAGGAAAAUCAAUGUCGACAAAUACUUGAUAUCGGCAUUGGUGGAGCGUUGGCGGCCCGAGACAAAUAGUUUUCACCUACCUGUAGCAGAAAUGACUAUUAUGUUGCAAGACGUCAGCUAUUUGUGGGGGUUGCCUAUCCAUGGUAAACCACUUGUUGGCAAAGCUGAUGCACAAUGGUCAGAAUUUGGUUGCAAAGUGACCUUAUACUUGAAGUCUCUAUGA